UACAGAGGUGGCUAGCGUUGUUCGGAAUUACUGGGCGUAAAGGGCGCGUAGGCGGCUUGGUCAGUCCCGUGUGAAAUCCCUCGGCUCAACUGAGGAACUGCACGGGAAACUGCCUGGCUUGAGUUCGGGAGAGGGAAGCGGAAUUCCGGGUGUAGCGGUGAAAUGCGUAGAUAUCCGGAGGAACACCGAUGGCGAAGGCAGCCAUCUGGACCGACACUGACGGCUGAGGCGCGAAAGCGUGGGGGAG
rnacentral:rRNA from 1 species